rnacentral:rRNA from 1 species
GACGAACCGUACGAACGUUAUUCGGAAUUACUGGGCUUAAAGGGUGCGUAGGCGGGCAGGUAAGUCCGUGGUGAAAUCUCUGAGCUUAACUCAGAAACUGCCAUGGAUACUAUUUGUCUUGAAUAUUGUGGAGGUGAGCGGAAUAUGUCAUGUAGCGGUGAAAUGCUUAGAUAUGACAUAGAACACCAAUUGCGAAGGCAGCUCACUACACAGUCAUUGACGCUGAGGCACGAAAGCGUGGGGAUCAAACAGG